CAGGUGGUCAGGUAGAGAAUACCAAGGCGCUUGAGAGAACUCGGGUGAAGGAACUAGGCAAAAUGGUGCCGUAACUUCGGGAGAAGGCACGCUGACACGUAGGUGAAGUGAUUUACUCAUGGAGCUGAAGUCAGUCGAAGAUACCAGCUGGCUGCAACUGUUUAUUAAAAACACAGCACUGUGCAAACACGAAAGUGGACGUAUACGGUGUGACGCCUGCCCGGUGCCGGAAGGUUAAUUGAUGGGGUCAGCGCAAGCGAAGCUCCUGAUCGAAGCCCCGGUAAACGGCGGCCGUAACUAUAACGGUCCUAAGGUAGCGAAAUUCCUUGUCGGGUAAGUUCCGACCUGCACGAAUGGCGUAAUGAUGGCCAGGCUGUCUCCACCCGAGACUCAGUGAAAUUGAACUCGCUGUGAAGAUGCAGUGUACCCGCGGCAAGACGGAAAGACCCCGUGAACCUUUACUAUAGCUUGACACUGAACAUUGAGCCUUGAUGUGUAGGAUAGGUGGGAGGCUUUGAAGUGUGGACGCCAGUCUGCAUGGAGCCGACCUUGAAAUACCACCCUUUAAUGUUUGAUGUUCUAACGUGGACCCGUGAUCCGGGUUGCGGACAGUGUCUGGUGGGUAGUUUGACUGGGGCGGUCUCCUCCUAAAGAGUAACGGAGGAGCACGAAGGUUGGCUAAUCCUGGUCGGACAUCAGGAGGUUAGUGCAAUGGCAUAAGCCAGCUUGACUGCGAGCGUGACGGCGCGAGCAGGUGCGAAAGCAGGUCAUAGUGAUCCGGUGGUUCUGAAUGGAAGGGCCAUCGCUCAACGGAUAAAAGGUACUCCGGGGAUAACAGGCUGAUACCGCCCAAGAGUUCAUAUCGACGGCGGUGUUUGGCACCUCGAUGUCGGCUCAUCACAUCCUGGGGCUGAAGUAGGUCCCAAGGGUAUGGCUGUUCGCCAUUUAAAGUGGUACGCGAGCUGGGUUUAGAACGUCGUGAGACAGUUCGGUCCCUAUCUGCCGUGGGCGCUGGAGAACUGAGGGGGGCUGCUCCUAGUACGAGAGGACCGGAGUGGACGCAUCACUGGUGUUCGGGUUGUCAUGCCAAUGGCACUGCCCGGUAGCUAAAUGCGGAAGAGAUAAGUGCUGAAAGCAUCUAAGCACGAAACUUGCCCCGAGAUGAGUUCUCCCUGAGACUUUAGGUCUCCUGAAGGAACGUUGAAGACGACGACGUUGAUAGGCCGGGUGUGUAAGCGCAGCGAUGCGUUGAGCUAACCGGUACUAAUGAACCGUGAGGCUUAACCUUA
rnacentral:rRNA from 3 species